AUUGAACGCUGGCGGCAGGCCUAACACAUGCAAGUCGAGCGGAUGAAGGGAGUUUGCUCCUGGAUUCAGCGGCGGACGGGUGAGUAAUGCCUAGGAAUCUGCCUGGUAGUGGGGGAUAACGUCCGGAAACGGGCGCUAAUACCGCAUACGUCCUGAGGGAGAAAGUGGGGGAUCUUCGGACCUCACGCUAUCAGAUGAGCCUAGGUCGGAUUAGCUAGUUGGUGGGGUAAAGGCCUACCAAGGCGACGAUCCGUAACUGGUCUGAUAGGAUGAUCAGUCACACUGGAACUGAGACACGGUCCAGAAUCCUACGGGAGGCAGCAGUGGGGAAUAUUGGACAAUGGGCGAAAGCCUGAUCCAGCCAUGCCGCGUGUGUGAAGAAGGUCUUCGGAUUGUAAAGCACUUUAAGUUGGGAGGAAGGGCAGUAAGUUAAUACCUUGCUGUUUUGACGUUACCAACAGAAUAAGCACCGGCUAACUUCGUG
rnacentral:rRNA from 1 species